rnacentral:rRNA from 1 species
CCUACGGGAGGCAGCAGUGGGGAAUAUUGCACAAUGGGCGGAAGCCUGAUGCAGCGACGCCGCGUGAGGGAUGACGGCCUUCGGGUUGUAAACCUCUUUCAGUAGGGAAGAAGCGAAAGUGACGGUACCUGCAGAAGAAGCGCCGGCUAACUACGUGCCAGCAGCCGCGGUAAUACGUAGGGCGCAAGCGUUAUCCGGAAUUAUUGGGCGUAAAGAGCUCGUAGGCGGUUUGUCGCGUCUGCCGUGAAAGUCCGGGGCUCAACUCCGGAUCUGCGGUGGGUACGGGCAGACUAGAGUGAUGUAGGGGAGACUGGAAUUCCUGGUGUAGCGGUGAAAUGCGCAGAUAUCAGGAGGAACACCGAUGGCGAAGGCAGGUCUCUGGGCAUUAACUGACGCUGAGGAGCGAAAGCAUGGGGAGCGAACAGGAUUAGAUACCCUGGUAGUCCAUGCCGUAAACGUUGGGCACUAGGUGUGGGGGACAUUCCACGUUUUCCGCGCCGUAGCUAACGCAUAAGUGCCCGCCUGGGGNGACGCGCGAGACGAACGUAACUAAUAGUUAGUUAGUAGNGUUGAGACGNGCGAGGACGACGACGAGGAGAGG